AUGAACGCUGGCUGCGUGCUUAACACAUGCAAGUCGAACGAUGACGACCGGGCUUGCCUGGUCUGAUUAGUGGCGAACGGGUGAGUAACACGUGAGUAACCUGCCCCUCACUUCGGGAUAACCUCGGGAAAUCGUGGCUAAUACCGGAUAUGAACUUCUACCGCAUGGUGGUUGUUGGAAAGUUUUUCGGUGAGGGAUGGACUCGCGGCCUAUCAGUUUGUUGGUGAGGUAAUGGCUCACCAAGACGAUGACGGGUAGCCGGCCUGAGAGGGCGACCGGCCACACUGGGACUGAGACACGGCCCAGACUCCUACGGGAGGCAGCAGUGGGGAUAUUGCACAAUGGGCGAAAGCCUGAUGCAGCGACGCAGCGUGAGGGAUGACUGCCUUCGGGUUGUAAACCUCUUUCAGUAGGGAAGAAGCGAAAGUGACGGUACCUGCAGAAGAAGCGCCGGCUAACUACGU
rnacentral:rRNA from 1 species